GAGACAAACAAUGAAUGCUUAAAUAAAAGAUAGUGGAGGUAAGAGGAGGCGGGUUGCUAGGGUGAAUGGAGAAUGGCUAGUUAGGUGAGAUUCAUUGGACAAAUUUCAAGAAAGGCAUUUAGAAAGAAAAACGGAGAUUGUUUUACAUGAUGAUUGUUUACAUGAUUUGGGUUCUUAGAUCGGUUAGUUUGGGUCCGGAACAGAUAGGGUACAUUUUUCCUAACCCAAACCAAAUAUCAGUCAAAACAGGUUAAAGACACGUCAACAUUACAGAACACAGACCCAAUCGGAUUUCCAAAACAAGUCUAAUUACGCCUGAACUGGCCGGGAGUCUUAAAAAACAAAUUAGGCUAGGUCUAAUCAGGUGAGGACUAGAUAAGUUUGCAGGUUGCCCGACCCAUUUGCAACCCUAUUCUCCUCUCUCUCUCUCUCUCUCUCUCUCUCUCUCU
rnacentral:lncRNA from 1 species